rnacentral:rRNA from 1 species
UUCCCCGACCCCAUCUCGGGGGACAGCUUCAACAUGAGCUCCCACGAGCCCAAGUGGUGGCUCGGGGAGCCCCUCUGGGUCACCGCCGCCGACCAGGGGGUCCGGGCCUCCACGUUCUUCUGGCCGGGCUCGGAGGUGAAGAAGGGAUCCUGGGACUGUCCAGACAAGUAUUGCCGCCACUAUAAUGGCUCUGUGCCAUUUGAGGACAGGGUUGACGCCAUCCUUGGUUACUUUGAUCUCCCGGUUGAUGAAAUGCCGCAGUUCCUGAUACUGUACUUU